rnacentral:rRNA from 1 species
GACGAACGCUGGCGGCGUGCUUAACACAUGCAAGUUGAACGGUCCGGCAUGGAAGCUUGCUGAAGUGUCGGGUAGUAGCGGACGGGUGAGUAAUGCAUGAGAAGCUGCCAUUGGGAGGGGGACAACAGUUGGAAACGGCUGCUAAUACCCCAUAUGCCGGAAGGUGAAACGGAGUGAUCCGCCCGAUGAGGUGCUCAUGUCCUAUCAGCUAGUUGGUGAGGUAACGGCUCACCAAGGCGACGACGGGUAGCCGGCCUGAGAGGGUGACCGGCCACACUGGAACUGAGAUACGGUCCAGACUCCUACGGGAGGCAGCAGUGGGGAAUAUUGGGCAAUGGGGGCGACCCUGACCCAGCGACGCCGCGUGAGGGAAGACGGCCUUCGGGUUGUAGACCUCUUUUGUACGGGAAGAAGGAUGUGACGGUACCGUGCGAAUAAGUCCCGGCUAACUACGUGCCAGCCGCCGCCGUAA